rnacentral:misc_RNA from 1 species
GGGUUGAAUACUACUGUUGUCCAUCAAGCUAAUAACACAUGUUUCAAAACUCAUCAUAUUUGAACUAGUAGAAUUAAAUAGUAGACUAGCACAUCCAGCAAGCCAAUGAUGAAAUACAAGUCCCAUAAUAAUAAAGAUUGCACAAGAAAAUACCAUCACCACCAUCACAAUGUUUGACUUCCACAAUCUAGUGCCAAAAUUUAAUGAUCCAGAUGCAUAGAGCCUAAUUCUUUUUAACAUCUGUCACCAAUCACAUUCACU